UUCGCAGACGUUGGGUUUUGGGGGAAUUUUGGGGGGUUUUUUGGGCCGGAAUCCCGAGUUAAUCCCGAGUUAAUCCCGUGUUAAUCCCGGGUUCAUCCCGAGUUAAUCCCGAGUUAAUCCCGAGUUAAUCCCGGGGAUCAUCCCGGGUUCAUCCCAGCCUAACCCCUCCCCAGGCAUGGUAGACGUGAUCUUCACAGACGUUGGAUUUUGGGGGAAUUUCGGGUUCCUGGUGGGAAUUUUGGGGGAAUUUCGGGGUUUUUUGGGCCAGAAUCCCGCGUUAAUCCCGAGUUAAUCCAGAGUUAAUCCCGGGUUCAUCCCGAUUAAUCCCGAGUUAAUCCUGUGUUAAUCCCGAGUUCAUCCCGGGUUAAUCCCGGCCUAACCCCUCCCCCAGGCAUGGUGGACGUGAUCUUCGCGGACGUUGGGUUUUGGGGGAAUUUUGGGGUUUUUUGGGCCGGAAUCCCGAGUUAAUCCCGAGUUAAUCCUGUGUUAAUCCCAGGUUCAUCCCGGGUUCAUCCCGGCCUAACCCCUCCCCCAGGCAUGGUGGACGUGAUCUUCACGGACGUUGGAUUUUGGGGGAAUUUUGGGGUUUUUUGGGCCAGAAUCCCGAGUUAAUCCCGAGUUAAUCCCGAGUUAAUCCCGAGUUCAUCCUGGGUUCAUCCCGAGUUCAUCCCGGGUUAAUCCCGGCCUAACCCCUCCCCCAGGCAUGGUGGACAUGAUCUUCGCGGACGUUGGGUUUUGGGGGAAUUUUGGGGUUUUUUGGGCCGGAAUCCCGAGUUAAUCCUGUGUUAAUCCCAGGUUCAUCCCGGGUUCAUCCUGAGUUAAUCCCGGGUUUAUCCUGAGUUAAUCCCGGGUUUAUCCCGAGUUAAUCCCGGCCUAA